CUCACCUCUCCCUUCUGUCCCUUCACCCCAUCCUCUGUCUCAGGGCUCGGAUGGGGCCUUUUAUCCUCUCAAGCCUCUUUCUUGACUGCGACCUGAUAGCAUUCUCGGGCUAUGCCUUGGUCCCCUCUCACUUCUCCCACUCCUCUUGCGGUGGGAAAUUUUAUUUUCAUGUGGAAGGUUGAGGUCACCGCUCGGAAUUGGUUUAGGGACGGCCUCCCCAGGAUCACGUUAUAACCUAAUUCUUCAUCGAUUACC
rnacentral:miRNA from 1 species